AUCAACUGCCUCUAAGUACCCAAGAUCUGUGGUAGGAACUUGAAAGACCCCUGGAGCGGGGAGACCCUCACUCAAGUCUUGGGAUGAUGCGACCCCCCAAGAACUCAUGUGAGACC
rnacentral:pre_miRNA from 14 species